rnacentral:tRNA from 3 species
GGAGAGUUGGCCGAGCGGUCGAAGGCGCACGAUUGGAAAUCGUGUUUACGUGUACAAUAGCGUAACGGGGGUUCGAAUCCCCUGCUCUCCG